GCGAACGCUGGCGGCAGGCCUAACACAUGCAAGUCGAACGGACCCUUCGGGGUUAGUGGCGGACGGGUGAGUAACACGUGGGAACGUGCCUUUAGGUUCGGAAUAGCUCCUGGAAACGGGUGGUAAUGCCGAAUGUGCCCUUCGGGGGAAAGAUUUAUCGCCAUUGGAGGGGCCCGCGUUCGAUUAGGUAGUUGGUGAGGUAAUGGCUCACCAAGCCGACGAUCGAUAGCUGGUCUGAGAGGAUGAUCAGCCACACUGGGACUGAGAUACGGCCCAGACUCCUACGGGAGGCAGCAGUGGGGAAUAUUGGACAAUGGGGGCAACCCUGAUCCAGCAAUGCCGCGUGAGUGAUGAAGGCCUUAGGGUUGUAAAGCUCUUUUGGCGGGGACGAUGAUGACGGUACCCGCAGAAUAAGCCCCGGCUAACUUCGU
rnacentral:rRNA from 1 species